CCCUUAGAUGUCCUGGGCUGCACGCGCGCUACACUGAUGUGUCCAGUAAGCACCUAACCUCUUCCGAAAGGAACGGGUAACCUUUGCAAAGCACAUCGUGAUGGGGAUAGAUUAUUGCAAUUAUUAGUCUUGAACGAGGAAUUCCUAGUAAGCACAAGUCAUCAGCUUGUGUUGAUUACGUCCCUGCCCUUUGUACACACCGCCCGUCGCUCCUACCGAUUGAAUGUGCCAGUGAAAAGUUAGGAUUGGGCGUGGGAGACGGCAACGUAUUCCACAUCCGAGAAAAUCUUUAAACUUUCCCAUUUAGAGGAAGGAGAAGUCGUAACA
rnacentral:rRNA from 1 species